UACAGAGGUCCCAAGCGUUGUUCGGAUUCAUUGGGCGUAAAGGGUGCGUAGGCGGCGCGGUAAGUCGGGUGUGAAAUCUCGGGGCUUAACUCCGAAACUGCAUUCGAUACUGCCGUGCUUGAGGACUGGAGAGGAGACUGGAAUUUACGGUGUAGCGGUGAAAUGCGUAGAUAUCGUAAGGAAGACCAGUGGCGAAGGCGGGUCUCUGGACAGUUCCUGACGCUGAGGCACGAAAGCGUGGGGAGCAAAAGGG
rnacentral:rRNA from 1 species